rnacentral:lncRNA from 1 species
CACAUCAUAAUCCAAUUGUUGGUUGCUCUGGGAGGCAAAUGAUUCAGUGGUGACAGAGUCUGAAGUUAGCAGUGAGUAUAAAUAUUCAGAUGAAGAGUUCCUCUUCAUGUUAUUCAGACGCUUGCAAUGUGCAUGGUUACCCUGGUAAUGUAUCUCAACAAUUUUCCCAUCUAUAGUUCUAACAACUUUUUUAUUCACAUAACAAUUGGGGUGUGUGCAUUUAUAGUAACUUACUUGAUUUUCAUUCCCUUUCCCUGUUUUAUCUUCACAUUUUUUCCAGUUGUACCCUUCUCCUACCAUUCUCAAUAACGGAAUUUGUUGGUCAUCGGCUCCUCUUUCUCCACCAUAUGCAGUACCAAGUUCUAUGGUCACGUGGUCUUCCAUUGGUACUGUUCCAAUCUCAGACUCAGACUCUUUAGAACGAAG